GCGUGCUACACUGCAGUCGAGCGCACUGGCCCGCUGAUGUGACGUGCUUGACUGAUUUGACGAUGGAUUACCGUGGAGCGGCUGACCGUGGAUUUGCACGUGCUCCACCUGCCCGGGACCGGGGGAUAACAUUUGCUCCCGCAUGCUGAUACCGCAUAAUAAUCAUAACCCCAUGGUUUUGAUUUCCAAGAUGGCUUCGGUUGUCACUCCAGGAUGGGCCCGCGGUGCAUUAGCUAGUUGGCCGGGUAACGGCUUACCCCGGCGAUGAUGCAUAGCCGAGUUGAGAGACUGAUCGGCCACAAUGGAACUGAGACACGGUCCAUACUCCUACGGGAGGCUGCUGCAGGGAAUCUUCCACAAUGGGCGCAAGCCUGAUGGAGCAACACCGCGUGACCGAAGAAGGGUUUCGGCUCGUAAAACUCUGUUGUUGAACACCAACGUGCGUGAGACCACUGUUCAUGCAGAGACGGUAUUCAACCACAAUGUCCCGAUUAACUGCGUGCCAGCAGCCGCGGUAAUACUUAUCUGGUCAGAGUUAUCCGGAUUUAUUGGGCGUAAAACGAGCGCAUGCGGUUACUUAGAUCUGAUGUGAAAGCCUUCGGCUGAACCGAAUAAGUGCAUCGGAAACUGGGUGACUUGAGUGCAGAAGAGGACAGUGGAACUCCAUGUGUAGCGGUGGAAUGCGUAUAUAUAUGGAAAGAACACCAGUGGCGAAGCGGCUGUCUUGGUCUGCAACUGACGCUGAGGCUCGAAAGCAUGGUUUAGCGAACAGGAUUAAAUACCCUGGUAGUCCCUUGCCGAAAACGAUGAUGACUAGGUGUUGGAGGGAUCCCCCCCUUCAGAGCCGGAACCUAAAACAUUGAACAAUUCGG
rnacentral:rRNA from 2 species